GGGGAUAUAGCUCAGUGGUACAGAGCCUGCCUGGCAAGCGCAAGGCCCUGAGUUAAAUUCCUGGUACUCCCC
rnacentral:tRNA from 1 species